CCGGCCCGGCCCCAGGGCCCCUCAGCCACUUGCCAUCCUGCUUGCCUUGCCCUCUGGCUCUGGCCUAGGAUCCGAGCGGCCUGCAAACUGCAGAGAGCUCUUCUUCUCUCCCCGCCUCUCACCUGAUUGGCAGGUGGGCGGGGCUUCCAGAGAGGCCUCCGUAUAGGCCUCCCUGAAGCCUGGAUUUGGCAUUCCCCAGCAAGCCAGGAAGGAGGCAGGAUGGAAGAGUUCUCUGCAGCAGACUCUCUGCCCAGACCAUCCAACACAGCUUUUGCAAGAUAUAAACAUACAUGUUUGGAAAUCAUUGGGAUUGUUUCGAAUCCAAAGCUGCAGCUGCACUGCUCCUUCUUCAUUUACAAAGAUGGCCCGGCGGAAUUAAGCAUCUGGAAUUUCUUCACCACUCCAAUAAUUUAUAUUCUGUUUAUGAAGGCUAUACAAUGUUGACAUGACAUUACUGUUUGUCUUGUGGCAUCACAAAAGUCUUUUCACUGGCAUCAUGUUCUUUUUUGCAUUUUCUCACUAUGUAAAUUGCAUCGCUUUCUUCUUAGCAGGCCAUUUUCAGCUGUGAAAUUAUCUCUGUUUAUAAAAGCAUUAAUCAGACUGCAUGUGUGUACUUAAGGUCCAUUUCCACCAUUUUUCUGAUGAAGUGGAAUUACAUUGCAACUCUAGGCUUUUAGUUCUGUGAAAAUGAAUCGAAAUGUACAUAGUGAACUCUGUUUGAUACAUUGCACAAUUUCUAAACUCCAUCUAAAGGGUUGUGCCUUUUAUACUGAGUAAUUGGCACCACAUUUGUGCCACUAGAAUAGAAGCUUUGAAAAUUACUGCUUGCCUUCUGUCAGUCAUCUCUGGAACUGAAUAUAAACUAUUGCAUUUGCAGA